rnacentral:lncRNA from 1 species
CUAUUCUCAAAAUUAUUACACCAACUCUCAGUUAAUGUUACUAUUCAGGUACUGUCUUUUUUGGCAGAUUCCUCAGGACAAAUUUCUUCUGCAAGUCCUUUCAGAGGAGACAUACCAGUGAAAUGCCCACAAUAACACAUUGAAAAGGAGAUGAUGAAAUAAAAUGGCAAGGACUAUGUGGAACCAAACAGCAACUACUGGCGUCUUCUUGUAGAAAACCCUUACACUGCUCAAGCAUCUCUACUCUAUUCCUCCCUUUGCUUCAUGCCCCACAAGUGUGGCACAGCCCCUGUUCUGGGACAGAAGGACAGACGUCCAAGGGACAUGGGCAUUUCUUCUCAGCUUAGCCAUGAUCCAUAUGAUGGGGCGAUGUAGCCGAGCUGUGGGCUGACCGAGGUUUGCAUCACUGCCCUGACCCAGAUUGCAUCUGCAGUCAUCUGGAACUGACUACAUGCCUGAACUGAUAAAAGAGGCUGUGGAAAUAAGGAUCUCUGGGGCCUUGGCAAGGUGCUUGUGCCAUAUCCACCUGUCCUCUGGAAGACAAAAGAGUGAAGAUCAGCAGUGUGUCAUUUAUUCUGCAAAAACUGAACAGAUGAGAACUGCUGUGACAGCCAAUAGAAGAAAUUAAAAAUUAAGAAAAGGCUGGUAUGGAACAAGAGGAAAAUUAUCCCAGCAUUUUGCACUUUUUUGUAAUCAAAGUCCUGUCUUUGGAGGGUGUUAUAUCAACUACACACUUGGUGAGGCCUGUAGGGAUUUUCCUUGUGUAACGCCUGCAGGAUUUAGCCUUAGCAUGUCACACUAUUAUAAGAGUGAUGUCCAGUAAGCAAUAGGUGGACUCUCUUGGGAAAAACACAGGAAGAAAACUUGGUGAGAGCUGGAUCCUCUGCAGUGUCACCUCUCAUGAAGGAUUGACAAAAGGAAAAAAAAAAAAAGGAGUGAACUAAUAUUAGAAGGAUGGAUUGGAUGCUUCCUGUUGUAGAACAGGAUAAAAUCCUGUGACAUGUUCCUUCCUAUUAGGUGGGAUACUACUGCUUAUGAUAAAGAUUGAUUUCUAAAAAUCCAUUGUAAAGAUAUAGGUCAGCAAAUAAGACAGUGACUUGACUAAUUUUUCAUUUCAAAAUGUAUGAUAGUUUCAUGCCUUUAAUUGACAUCAGUGCAGUGUGUUGUUGAAUCCAAUGAAAUUUGAAUCCCACUAUGAAUUUGUUUUCCACAGAUUAUGAACAGAAGCCUUUGAUUUCUAUUAAUUAUGUAUUUUUGAGUGAAAAGCUAUUUUGUGUAUAUAUAUUUAAUAGCAGGAAAUGUAGCAAAUGUUUAUUUUUAUUAAACUAAUAAAAAGGAUAAAAUCUAUCA